UUUCAUAGUCGAACAGACUAGCUUACUUAGCUACUACGCUAGGCAGCGCCUUUAAUUCAACAUCGAGGUCACAAGAUCUUUUAUCGAUUAGGCCUCUCUAAAAGCAUUGUGCUGUUAUCCCUGAGGUAACUACUCUUUAACUUGCUAAAGAUCUUAGUAUCGACUGCUAUGAGCGGCUUAUUAAUUAGAUGUUAUUACUUUACCGCCCCAGUUUGACCCAACAGCAACGAAACCCCAAAUUGUUUGAGCUUGAGUUCAUCUCUAAGUCAGCUCUGCAGGGUCUUAUCUUCCCGUUGGUGGGACUUGAAGUUUUAAUCAAGACCUUAAGUUGUACCGUUACGGACUUACAAAUCGUCUUUCAUGAACCCCUUCAUUCUAGACCCCAAUUAAGAGCCAAAUUAUUAUGCUACCUUUGCACAGUUCAGG
rnacentral:rRNA from 1 species